rnacentral:rRNA from 1 species
GGUAGCGCGGGGCGGGCGUGCGCGGGAAUGGCGAGGGUGCAAGCGUGUUCCGGAAUGGCAGGGGGUAAAGGGCGCGUGGGCGGCUUGAUAAGUCACUGGUGAAAUCCCGGGGCUCAACGGCGGGGCCGAAGGUGGGACUGGCUGGCUGGGGCUUGGUAGGGGGGAGUGGAAUUCCCGGUGUGGCGGUGGAAUGCGUAGAGAUCGGGAAGAACACCGGUGGCGAAGGCGGCUCGCUGGGCCAAUGCUGACGCUGAUGCGCGAAAGCGUGGGGAGCAAACAGGAUUAGAUACCCGGGUAGUC